rnacentral:tRNA from 1 species
GUGAGUAUAACUCAGUGGUAGAGCGUAUGCUUAGCAUGCAGGAGGCCCUGGGUUCAAUCCCCAGUACCUCCA